AAUGCCCCAUGCCAAUGGGCAGUUCAACUCAGAGGAGGAAGAGACACCAAGGAUGGCGGGGGAGGCCUUUGUCCAAGCUGAGGUCUGGAAAACAUUCUGCUCCUCGCCCACAUACAGGCACUGGACGACAAAACAAAUGAUGCACUCUGUCACAUGAUGUCCAUCACACAUCAGCAAUGAAGAACCUUGUGCUGUGAACCUUGAUGAAAUAUCAGGUUCUUUUGAAGAGGAUGGAAUGGUGAUCUAUGAUGUUGACACACUCAGAUCAGUAAGCGUCCUCUGGAUGUGUAGUGCUUCUUUGAUAACACUACACUAAAAAAACAACAAGACAAAAGGGAAACCACUCUGGCCAGGAGGACGCUGCCUCCUACAUGAAUAUCUGUGGAAUGACUGCCUGGACUCAGAGGGCAUGGUUGCUUCUUUUUAACAAGGCCAGACGUCCACUCUAAUUGCCCAACAGGCCAAAUGUACUGUUGCAGUAACUGUGUGCACUUAGAAAAAGUAAGUAGCAUUAAAAAUGGCAGCAUAAACUGGGCAUGCAAUUUUGUUAAGCCCUUUAAAAGUUAUGUGUCAGGAAUAGAAUAUUUUGGGGAUAUUAGAGGUCAGUAAGUGGGUAGAAAUUGGUGGCAGAGACAGAGAAAUGCUUCAUUGAAACAUUCCUCCAUGUAGGCCACCCAAAUAAGAAAACUCUAGACAUUUAUACAAUCCACAUGGUUCCUUGGCUGACA